rnacentral:rRNA from 1 species
CAGCAGCCGCGGUAAUACGUAGGGUGCGAGCGUUAAUCGGAAUGACUGGGCGUAAAGGGCGCGUAGGCGGCGAUCAAAGUCAGGCGUGAAAUUCCUGGGCUCAACCUGGGGGCUGCGCUUGAUACUUGGUUGCUUGAGUGGGGAAGAGGGUCGUGGAAUUCCCAGUGUGGAGGUGAAAUUCGUAGAUAUUGGGAAGAACACCGGUGGCGAAGGCGGCGACCUGGUCCUUGACUGACGCUGAAGCGCGAAAGCGUGGGGAGCAAACAGGAUUAGAUACCCCUGUAGUCCCUGUCUCUUAUAC